rnacentral:tRNA from 1 species
GCCUGGGUGGCUCAGGCAGUUAAGCGUCUGACUUUGGCUCAGGUCAUGAUCUCGCGGUUCACAGGUUCAAGCCCUGUGCUGGGCU